GACUGGUGCACUGAUCCUGUGUGCAGAUGUCUGCAUUGCCUGAGAAGAGCUCUUCACUCCAAGUAAUCCAGAGAUGUGUUUGUAAUGAGAUACUUGACAAACUGUUGUAACUUGACAAUUCCUCACAGUCAUAGGAAAAUACCUGUACCAGGUGUUUCUUAAGUAAAAACAAAAGGCUGAAGCAGGGUCAUCUCUCUUGCUACCCAGCCCAUGCAGCUCUUAAAUCCUCUUGCUUGCAGAGGAAACCCCUGUUGCUUAUGUUCCUAAAACAUCUUCCACUUCUGCAUGGAAAAGUAGGAAAGCAAAGUGGUGAAGGAGCACUGCUGAAGCCCCCUUGGGCAAACCAUGAGAACAUCAGGCCCACAGGUAGCUUAGUUUAACUCCAGAGAGUUUACAUUUAUAUCUCCUUCUCUAAAUAUUAGAAACUCCAUUCUGAUACAAGCGGGACAAAUUAAGGU